rnacentral:lncRNA from 1 species
GAUAAGUCUGAAAACUCCAAGGCUGGCUGAUAGGCUGGAAAUUCAAGCAGGCAUUGAUGUGGCAAUCUUGAGACUAACGGUGGUCUGGGUGCAGAAUUGCUUCCUCUUUGGGAAACCUCCAUCUUUUCUCUAAGGUCUUCAACUAAUUGGAUGAAGCCCAUCCACAUUAUGGAGGGUCACUAGCUUUACUCAAAGCCUACUGAUUUCAUUGUAAGUCACAUCUAAAAAAUACCUUCACAGCAACAUCUAUGCUUUUAUCUGCCAAACAACUGGGCACCGUAUGCUAGCCAAGUUGACACAUAAAAUUAACUGUCACUCCAUGGGACUAGAUGAAAUUACCCAGGAGUUAAUGUAUUUAGAGAAAUAAAGAUGGCCCAGGACAGAGCCCUGGCACGCUCAAACUGCAAAAGGGGAAAAGAACCCAGCAAUGGAGCCUAAGAAGGAGCUGGCAGGAGGUAGGAGGAAAACCAAGACUGUGUGGUGUCUCAGAAGCCAAUGAAGAAGUGCUCCAAAAAGGAAGAUCAACUAUUUCAAGCACUGCCAAGAAAUCCUAUAAGGCCCUGGGAAGAUUACGUAGCCAACACUGGUGUGAAAAUCAUGCCUAUGGAGGGUUCUUUUGGAACCCAGAAGAAACAGAUAAAGGAGGUGUUUAUUCAUGAAACCAGCACUUAGAAGACUGCAUCAGCAGUUCCAGCUCCAUGAUUACAAGCUCCUCGAAGACAUGAACCAGAUCACACCUCUCCUGUGUGGCUAAGGCCAACUGCACAUGUAGAACGGUGUUCCUCCUAUGCUUGGGACAAAUAAAUCUCACAAAAUCAAAACUGUGUUAAUAUUCAUGCUUCCUACUUGCCUUAGAACGGGGUGUCAAACUUGGUCUUUUUUUUUUUUUUUUUUUUUUUUAAUACAGAGUCUUGCUCUUGUUGCCCAGGCUGAAGUGCAAUGGCACAAUCUCAGCGCACUGCAACCUCCGCCUCCUGCGUUCAAGCAAUUCUCCUGCCUCAGCCUCCUGAGUCGCUGGGAUAAUAGGCGCCCACCACCAUGCCUGGCUAAUUUUUGUAUUUUUAGUAGAGACAGGAUUUUGCCAUGUUGGCCAAGCUGGUCUCGCGCCUGUAAUCCCAAAAGUUUGUGAGGCCGAGGCAGGUGGAUCACCUGACAUCAGGAGUUUGAGACCAGCCUGACCAACACGGUGAAAACCUGUCUCUACUAAAA